UACGAAGGGGGCUAGCGUUGCUCGGAAUUACUGGGCGUAAAGGGCGCGUAGGCGGCGCUGUUAGUCAGGCGUGAAAUUCCUGGGCUCAACCUGGGGACUGCGCUUGAUACGGCAGUGCUUGAGGAUGGAAGAGGCUCGCGGAAUUCCCAGUGUAGAGGUGAAAUUCGUAGAUAUUGGGAAGAACACCGGUGGCGAAGGCGGCGACCUGGUCCAUUUACUGACGCUGAGGCGCGAAAGCGUGGGGAGCAAACAGG
rnacentral:rRNA from 1 species